CGAGUUAUCUGAACCUUCGGGGGACGAUAACGGCGUCGAGCGGCGGACGGGUGAGUAAUGCCUAGGAAAUUGCCCUGAUGUGGGGGAUAACCAUUGGAAACGAUGGCUAAUACCGCAUAAUACCUACGGGUCAAAGAGGGGGACCUUCGGGCCUCUCGCGUCAGGAUAUGCCUAGGUGGGAUUAGCUAGUUGGUGAGGUAAUGGCUCACCAAGGCGACGAUCCCUAGCUGGUCUGAGAGGAUGAUCAGCCACACUGGAACUGAGACACGGUCCAGACUCCUACGGGAGGCAGCAGUGGGGAAUAUUGCACAAUGGGCGCAAGCCUGAUGCAGCCAUGCCGCGUGUGUGAAGAAGGCUUCGGGUUGUAAAGCACUUUCAGUCGUGAGGAAAGUGUAGUUAAUAGCUGCAUUAUUUGACGUUAGCGAC
rnacentral:rRNA from 1 species